UGUUGCCUACGGGGGGCAGCAGUGGGGAAUAUUGCACAAUGGGGGAAACCCUGAUGCAGCGACGCCGCGUGAGUGAAGAAGUAUCUCGGUAUGUAAAGCUCUAUCAGCAGGAAAGAUAAUGACGGUACCUGACUAAGAAGCCCCGGCUAACUACGUGCCAGCAGCCGCGGUAAUACGUAGGGGGCAAGCGUUAUCCGGAUUUACUGGGUGUAAAGGGAGCGUAGACGGCAGCGCAAGUCUGUAGUGAAAUGCCGGGGCUCAA
rnacentral:rRNA from 1 species